AGUCUUCAAAAUGCUUGGGUCUGCUCUCAAUAAGCAAUGUUGUCGAUGUGUGAUUGUGACGGUUAACCUCAGCGAGGAAUAUAUUUUGUAAUUAACUAUAAAGAUGUUUGUGAAAACUUACUUGUUUAUUUUGAUGCCUUUAAAGUUUGAUGUUGGGUACGAUAAAUAUAUGUAUAACACCAUUUAAA